GGAGCUCACGGGGCCCCAGCUCGCGCUCGCUGCCCGGGGAUCCCGCGCAAGGACAGCUGCGUGGCGGUUUCGGGUCUUGUCGAGCCCUUGACCUCGAAGGGCGUCUGUGGGUGCGCGGGGCUGGAGCCGGGCGGGCUCCUGUACUCCCCGCCCGGAUCUAGAUUCCCGCAAGGCCGCCGGCGUGGGCCUGAACUUGGGGUCCUAUUCAGUACUCGCGCCAAGUCCAGCGGGAGCCCAGUCUCCUCGGUUUUUGAGCGAGCGGGGACUUUGAGGACGCACACGGUCAGCCAGGUCUCCUGGCUACCAGUCGCCACCCUUGGGUGGGGCUUUCACAAGACUGCUAAAGAGCCUCAGGCGCCAAAAAUUGGAGAAGUGCGGGAGUGACCCAAGUCGCGGCGCUGUGUCUUCUUCCCAGUGCCCACAGCCCACCAGCUCCUCACUCAGCCUCGCCGGCAGCUUUGGUCGCCUGGCAGUCACCUCAGUCCCGGAACUAAGCAGGCAGCACGCAGCGGUAUCUGGGUCUGCGAACGCCUCUGGUUCGCGGGAUUCCCCACUUCCACGGACCUGAGUGCGCUGAGUCCUCCGCUGGACUUGUCCACGUCCGGACCAUGGCCCUUUGCUGCUGUCCUGCCUUCCAGCACACGCUGAACUCAGGAUAGGAGCAGUGCAUGACCUGAAAUCAGUCAGGUCCUCCUCACCACCUCAAGACUGUGUGAGAAGCCGGACAUGGUUGUGCAGGCCUGUGAUCCCAGCCCUCGGGAGACUGAGGCAGGAGAAUUGUUGCCAGUUUGAGACCAGCCUGGGCUACAAGUGAGCUCAAGGCCAGCCUGGACUGCAUAAUGAGACCUUAUCUCAAAAAAAAUUUUUUUUUUUGAUGCCGGGGAUUGAACUCAUGAUUCAUACUUGCCAGGCAGGCACUUAUACCGCUGAGUUAAAUCCCCAGCCCUUGAAAUUUUAAAAAUUAAAAAAAAAAAAUGUG